GAUCAGGUAUAAGUAACCAGCCUCGCCAAGGUGCUGUAAUAAACUAUGUGGUGAAAAAACAGCACAGCACCUCUCAGUGUUUGGGUGUGGUGAAGGCGAGAGUGCGAGAGAGGGGGGUGCUAAAUGUGUGAGGGAAGGUGAGUCAUGGAUUACGAGUGAUAACUGACUGAUAACGCCUUACAAGAUAAAAUCUGAUUUCUUAACAUUUACCAUCUUGUCAAUUUCUCGGUGUUUUUUUUCCGAGUGGUGUUUCCUUCCAGUACAGAGUCGAUUUUUUCUUCAAUAAUUUGCUUAGGGUGAACCUAGCAAAUUCCACUUUGAGUGACUGUAUUGAAUCAUAAAUUUUAGAACAACAAAAUUAACUGUAAUACGUACCCCGUAUUCUUAAAAAUGGUGAUUUAUUUAACUUGACUAUAAAGUUGAAUACCGGACCCACAAAAUCAUGUGCAGCGAGGUGUUCUCACAAAUAGUAAGGAAGAGAAGGAGGAAUUGAUAACUUGGCUUAAAACAUCAGAGUUCCCUCUAUUGAACAAAAGAGGACAGGAGGCAUUUUUCAGGUUUCUUCGAGGUAGCAGUUACUCAGAAGAUAAAGAUAUAGUAGAAGUAGAUUUAAAAGCUGAUGGAAUGGAUAAUAAUGAUGCAAGAAGGUACCAGUUUUGGCUGAAGUGUCAGGGACUUGAAAUUGGAAAUCUUUUUAAGGUAUAUGUAGAUGAUGAUGAAACAAGUUUACCUGAUGCAAAGGUAUGUCACACAAUGUAUAAAAGUAAAGGUGGUACUCAAAACAUGACACAGUUCGUGCAGGAAAAAGUAAGUGAUGGUGAGAAAGUAGAUGGAUUUAUAAAUGAUUUAAAAGACACAAUGAAGCCAGACUUAGACCAAGUAUUUCUAAAAUUUAAGGUUUUUCUUGAAAAUAAAUAUGGAAAGAACGGUGAACACAUAUAGUAGUUCCAGUUUAUUUAGGAACUUACAAAAUGUGUGUGCUGUCAAGAGUUCCUACAAUCACCUACCACACUUUUUAAUGAAAAAUAUUUCAGUGUGAACUCUGAAUAUUAACCAGCAAAUUAACAACAUUCAAGUCAUGUUAUGCCUUACAUACUAGACUAAUGCUGUACGUACUACCUUAUAGUACUGUAUGAGGAGGUAUGGAAAAUCAGAUUUUCUGUCCUGAGUGUCUUGAUUGUUGUUGUUUGGUUAGCACUCAUGUGUUAAGAAAGCUGUGAUUUUGAAUGAGUGAAAUGUUCAUAUUGGAAACUUUAUAUGAUUCUUUUGUUACCACCAUUAUUUGGCCUUAUACCACACUCCUUCACUCAUUCAUUGAUGUGCAGAAAAGAAGAUUGCGGAUCUACCGGUACUUUCCAUUUUUGUGAAGGAAACUUUUUUCUGUAUGACAUCUGUAAUUCUCUAUACUGUACUGUACAGGAUGGUUGACCACUUCUGAGAAGGUUACUUUAAUCUGAGACCUUUUCCUCCAAAACUGUCCACCUGAUGAAUAAAACAUCCCAUUGAUGAUCAUUCCAGAGCAUUACUUAUUAAUAGUGAUAUAACUGUUACUUCAUUACAUUCCCCGGUUUAACAGUAUAGUACCUGUAUUCAAUAAUGUACUUAAAUAUGUUAUAUGUACAGUCCUAUCAAAUACCUGUAUGUAUUUUCCUUAAGCCAGUAACAUAGACCAAUAUUUUAUUUUUAAUAAAUUGUUAUUAAGUUGA
rnacentral:misc_RNA from 1 species